rnacentral:rRNA from 1 species
GCAAUUAUACCGCGAAACUGCGAAUGGCUCAUUAUAUAAGUUAUCGUUUAUUUGAUAGCACAUUACUACUUGGAUAACCGUGGUAAUUCUAGAGCUAAUACAUGCUAAAAAUCCCGACUUCGGAAGGGAUGUAUUUAUUAGAUUAAAAGCCAACGCCCUUCGGGGCUCUGUGGUGAUUCAUAAUAACUGGUCGAAUCGCAUGGCCUUGCGCCGGCGAUGGUUCAUUCAAAUUUCUUCCCUAUCAACUUUCGAUGCGAGGGUCUUGUCCUCGCAUGGUUGCAACGGGUAACGGAGGGUUAGGGCUCGACCCCGGAGAAGGAGCCUGAGAAACGGCUACUACAUCCAAGGAAGGCAGCAGGCGCGCAAAUUACCCAAUCCCGACACGGGGAGGUAGUGACAAUAAAUACUGAUACAGGGCUCUUUUGGGUCUUGUAAUCGGAAUGAGUACAAUUUAAAUCCCUUAACGAGGAACAAUUGGAGGGCAAGUCUGGUGCCAGCAGCCGCGGUAAUUCCAGCUCCAAUAGCGUAUAUUAAAGUUGUUGUGGUUAAAAAGCUCGUAGUCGAACCUUGGGCCUGGCUGGCCGGUCCCCCUCACCGGGUGCACUGAUCCAGCCGGGCCUUUCCCUCUGUGGAACCCCAUGGCCUUCACUGGCUGUGCGGGGGAAACAGGACUUUUACUGUGAAAAAAUUAGAGUGCUCCAGGCAGGCCUAUGCUCGAAUACAUUAGCAUGGAAUAAUAGAAUAGGACGUGUGGUUCUAUUUUGUUGGUUUCUAGGACCGCCGUAAUGAUUAAUAGGGACAGUCGGGGGCAUCAGUAUUCAGUUGUCAGAGGUGAAAUUCUUGGAUCUACUGAAGACUAACUACUGCGAAAGCAUUUGCCAAGGAUGUUUUCAUUGAUAAGGAACGAAAGUUAGGGGAUCGAAGACGAUCAGAUACCGUCGUAGUCUUAACUAUAAACUAUGCCGACUAGGGAUCGGACGAUGUUAUUAUUUGACGCGUUCGGCACCUUUCGAGAAAUCAAAGUGCUUGGGCUCC